rnacentral:tRNA from 1 species
AGGGUAAUAGCUCAGUGGUAGAGUGUAUGCUUAGCAUGCAUGAGUUCCUGGGUUCAAUCCCCAGUACCUUC